rnacentral:rRNA from 1 species
AGAGUUUGAUCAUGGCUCAGGACGAACGCUGGCGGCGUGCCUAACACAUGCAAGUCGAACGGAGAAUUUCAAUAAGCUUGCUUAGAGAAAUUCUUAGUGGCGGACGGGUGAGUAACGCGUGGGUAACCUACCCAUAAAGCCGGGACAACCCUUGGAAACGAGGGCUAAUACCGGAUAAUCUUGAGAGCUGGCAUCAGCUUUUAAGGAAAGAUGGCCUCUGAGAAUGCUAUCGAUUAUGGAAGGACCCGCGUCUGAUUAGCUAGUUGGUGGGGUAAAGGCCUACCAAGGCGACGAUCAGUAGCCGGCCUGAGAGGGUGAACGGCCACACUGGGACUGAGACACGGCCCAGACUCCUACGGGAGGCAGCAGUGGGGAAUCUUCCGCAAUGGACGAAAGUCUGACGGAGCAACGCCGCGUGUAUGAUGAAGGUCUUCGGAUUGUAAAGUACUGUCUUUGGGGAAGAACGGUUUUCUUGAGAAGAUUGAGGAGACAUGACGGUACCCAAGGAGGAAGCCCCGGCUAACUACGUGCCAGCMGCCGCGGUAAUA